AAAGGUAAGCUACUAAGAGCGAAUGGUGGAUGCCUUGACUGGUAAAGGCGAUGAAGGACGUACUAGACUGCGAUAAGCUACGGGGAGCUGUCAAGAAGCUUUGAUCCGUAGAUUUCCGAAUGGGGCAACCCAAUGUAUAGAGAUAUACAUUACCUAUAUAGGAGCGAACGAGGGGAAUUGAAACAUCUUAGUACCCUCAGGAAAAGAAAUCAAUAGAGAUUGCGUCAGUAGCGGCGAGCGAAAGCGCAAGAGGGCAAACCCAGUGCUUGCACUGGGGGUUGUAGGACUGCAAUGUGCAAGAGGUAAGUUUAGCAGAACAUUCUGGAAAGUAUA
rnacentral:rRNA from 2 species